UUCGGUACUCACCAAGUAAGGGUACUCACUUUGAAAGGGAGAUGGUGGGAUGGGAUUUUUAUUAAUUAGAUCGAGUGAAUUUUUCAUAAUGCCCCUACUUUCUUUUCUAGAAAAGGUUGGACAAAUUCUGCUCUUGCUUUACCAUAAUUCCCAUAAUUUCUUUAUCUUGACCAUGAAGUGCCAUAGGAUGAUCUUUUCCUAUUCUACUCUUACUUGACAGAAUAAAAGUAUUAUUAAGCAUUAUCUCAGUUAUUUAAUCAGUUUCAUGGCUCUUUUCUUAGGUUAAUUACUUUUCUAUAUUUUUAUUCAAAAAUUAUAUUAAAUUGAAAAGACUUCUUAUCUAUUGUUAUUAGAUUCGUGUAUCUUUAUUGGAAUAUUAUACUUGAUUACUAUCUAUUUUUAUAUCAUUUUUAAAAAAUAUUUUAUACUUAUUUAAAAUUUUAUUAUUAAAAAAAAGGCCUCAUCUAUUGGAUUCGCCUUAGGCCCCCAAAUGUAUUGGGCCGCCCCUGCAUGU
rnacentral:lncRNA from 1 species